rnacentral:tRNA from 2 species
GGGCGCAUAGCUCAGCGGUAGAGCUCCUCGCUUACAACGAGGCGGUCACAGGUUCGAUCCCUGUUGCGCCCACCA